rnacentral:rRNA from 1 species
AACGAACGCUGGCGGCAGGCCUAACACAUGCAAGUCGAAGGAGAAGCCGGGCUUCGGCCCGGUGGAAACUGGCGCACGGGUGAGUAACGCGUGGGUAUCUACCUCGGGGUGGGGAAUAACCGCUGGAAACGCGGCUAAUACCGCAUACGCCUUCAGAGGGAAAGCUCCGGCGCCCUGAGAGGAGCCCGCGUUGGAUUAGCUUGUUGGUGGGGUAAUGGCCUACCAAGGCUACGAUCUAUAGCUGGUCUGAGAGGAUGAUCAGCCACACUGGGACUGAGACACGGCCCAGACUCCUACGGGAGGCAGCAGUGGGGAAUAUUGGACAAUGGGCGCAAGCCUGAUCCAGCCAUGCCGCGUGAGUGAAGAAGGCCUUAGGGUUGUAAAGCUCUUUCACCUGCGAAGAUGAUGACGGUAGCAGGAGAAGAAGCCCCGGCUAACUCCGUG